rnacentral:rRNA from 1 species
UGGCGGACGGGUGAGUAACGCGUAAGAACCUAUCCCUAGGCGGGGGACAACCACUGGAAACGGUGGCUAAUACCCCAUGUGCUGAGGAGCAAAAGGAGGAAUCCACCCAGGGAGGGGCUUGCGUCUGAUUAGCUAGUUGGCGGGGUAACGGCCCACCAAGUCUGCGAUCAGUAACUGGUGUGAGAGCACGACCAGUCACACGGGCACUGAGACACGGGCCCG